rnacentral:rRNA from 1 species
GCUCCAGUAGCGUAUAUUAAAGUUGUUGCAGUUAAAAAGCUCGUAGUUGGAUUUCUGGUGUGAGACGCCUGGUCCGCCAGAGUUAUCUGUGUGAGUACCGGUGUGUCUCUGCCAUCCUUCUAGAGAACGUAGAUGUCUCACGACGUGUGCGCCAUCUAGAUCAUUUACUUUGAAAAAAUUAGAGUGUUUAAAGCAGGCUU